rnacentral:tRNA from 1 species
UGGGGAUUAGCUCAAUGGUAGAGCGUUUGCCUAGCAAGUGCAAGGCCCUGGGUUCGGUCCCCAGCUCCAA